rnacentral:misc_RNA from 1 species
GAUGCGAUUGUCAUAGAAACAGCAUCACGAAAUGAUGAUGAUUUUAUCCCAAAUAAAGGGGGAGGCUACAUCGUGCAACAUAGCUCAACAAAAAUUGAAAAAGCCACACAUUCCAGAAUCUUCGAUGCGAGCUGACUGCAGAGUUUGAGGUGUUCCCUAGCCAAUGGAAUGCUUAGAAGGUCUGAAGGAAGAGGGCAGUUGACAUAUACAUUUUAAAAAGAUCCGAUCCGAUGAUGUUUAGAAUAUUUGAAAGAACGCGUGGCGCUGUUGUAUCAUGGGGUCGAUCAGGGAAACACGGUUUCCCCAGGCUAACAGAUUUUUCAACAGUAGCCGGAGCAGAUACUUCAAACAAUGAUCGAAAUGGGCCUCUUAUUGGACAAGAUGAUAUACCGAAAUUGGUUAUUUUUGACAAAAAUGGCACAUUGACAGAUUUCAAUGCAAAAUGGAGUCCAUGGAUACAAAAUACAACCAUGCGGAUAAGAGACAUGACAGGACUGGAUGUAUCAGGCAAAGUUUAUGAUCAGCUGGGGUUCUGUGAUCUCACACAGAAAACUAAACCAGGGCUUCUUUUAGCCGAAGCUACGGUCACUGAAAUCAAACAUCAUUUGAUAGAUAUCCUCCAAAAAGAAGGAAUGAAUGAGGAAGAAGCAGCAUGGACGGUUGAACAGAUUUGGGAGGAGGUUGAUUCCGAACGAUUAGUAAAACUAGAUGAUCUAGUCACAUUGUUUCGUAUCUUGACUGAGGAGGGUAUAAAAAUAGCAGUAGCUACUCGGGAAUCACGAACAUCAGCACUUCAAGCGAUGAAAAAUCUCGGUUUGAGACAAUAUAUCAGUGCUAUGGUAUGCGGUGAUGACGUCAACACAAAGGCGCGCCCUAGUGGCCAUAAUAUCAAAUUAAUCUGUCAAAUGUUGAACAUAAAUCCGCAGGAUACUGUCUUGAUCGGGGACACUGCAAAUGAUAUGAUAAUGGGCAGAAACGCGGGUGCUGGCGCUGUUGUUGGAGUUCUAAGCGGUAUAGGAACUAUAGAAGAUCUCAAACCAAUCGCUAAUAAUACGGUGAACAGCGUUAUGGAGGUCCUUCCACUUAUACUUCCUGAAGCUAAAUUCAGAGAGUGUGUGGAAAGGCAUGGACUGGUAGCUAAGAAGAAAGAAGCCCAUUUGCCAGGAAGAAAGAAGUCCCUGGUAAUAUUUGAUAAGGACGGAACGCUUAUUUGUUUUCAUUCCAUGUGGCGACCAUGGAUAAUGAAACUCUCAAAGAGAUUAGAAAAUGCUACUGGAUUAAAGUUGGCAGAUACGGUGUUUGAACGAUUGGGAUUCUCUAAGGAAACUGAUAAAUUCCUACCAGGCGUAGUUGCUGAAGGCACACAAACGGACGUUCAAAACGAACUCUUCAAAAUCCUUGAAGAAAACGGUAUAAGCCACGAAGAAGCCAGGUCCACUGUUCAACGAGUCUGGGACGGCUGUGAAGUCCAAGACUCGGAGUCCCUUAAGUCAGUUGGUGAUGUGUUACCCACGUUCAAAAAGCUAAAGCAGUAUGGUAUCAGAAUAGCUGUGUGUACGUCAGACUCUCGCCAGGGAACAAUGGAAACGCUGGACAAAUUGGGCCUGAUGGAAUAUGUUGAUGCGCUCGUCUGUGGGGAUGAUGCCCGUUCUGAGACGAAACCGUCACCGCAAAAUGCUUACACCAUCUGUGAUGCACUCAAUGUUGAUCCAUCUGAUACUGUCAUGGUCGGGGACACAUUAGCUGAUAUCGGAAUGGGAAGAUCCGCCAACCUUGGGGCAACAGUGGCUGUGCUUACUGGUGUAUGUGGACCAGAGGAACUAGCCGACGCAGACCACGUAGUACCAAGUGCUAUACACGUGUUGCCCAUUGUUCUCCCUGACGACCAUCACAAUUUAGGAAAUGUGGACACAUCUACAAAUCUUUCUGUACCCCAAACUAGAUCAUAUUCAACGUGUCACCAGUCAUCGCCCAAAUUACUGAUAGCAAGAAAUUCAAGAUAUCAUCAAUGUAAUCAACCAAUAAGAAGACAAUAUAGCACGAACAGUUUAUCAAAGAAGUAUGACUAUGUUAUUGUUGGCGCAGGAUCUGCAGGGUGUGUGUUGGCAAAUAGGCUAACAGAGGAUCAAAGUAAAAACGUACUCCUUCUUGAAGCAGGACCCAAGGAUUAUUGGUGGAACUGGAAAAUCCACAUGCCCGCUGCAUUGAUGUACAAUCUGUGUAAUGAUAACUACAAUUGGUUUUAUCACACAGUGCCACAGAAGAAUGUAGAUAACAGGGUCAUGUACCAGCCUAGAGGUCGCGUAUGGGGUGGUUCUUCAUCACUUAAUGCAAUGGUAUAUAUCCGUGGCCACGCAUUGGAUUAUGAUCGCUGGGAAUCCGAAGGCGCUAGGGGUUGGUCGUAUGCGAACUGCUUACCAUAUUUCAAAAAAUCCCAGACGCAUGAGCUUGGGGAAAAUGAUUAUAGAGGGGGCUCUGGUCCUUUACAGGUGUCACGUGGAAAAACGGGGCAUCCUUUACAUAAGGCAUUCAUAGAGGCAGGAGUUCAAGCUGGAUAUCCUUAUACGGAGGACAUGAACGGGUUCUGCCAGGAGGGUAUGGGAGAAAUGGAUAUGACCAUACACAAGGGGCGCAGGUGGAACACCUCUCAAGCGUAUCUUAGGCCAGCUCUGAGUAGACCAAAUCUGGACACAGAAACAAAAGCGUUCACUACACGUGUCCUGUUCUCUGACGACAAGGCUACUGGAGUUGAAUAUGAGCAAAACGGUGAACUGAAACGUAUUGAAGCAAAUGAGGUUAUCCUUAGUGGAGGUGCAAUUAAUUCCCCGCAACUACUGAUGUUGUCUGGCAUUGGAAACGCGGACGAGUUAAAAGCACUUGAUAUUCCAGUGCAGACCCAUCUUCCUGGGGUUGGUGAAAAUCUUCAAGAUCAUCUCGAUUUGUAUAUCCAACAGAAGUGCGUUAAACCCAUAACUCUCUAUACGGCGCAGUGGAAAUUUCCCCAUAACAUGGUCAAGAUUGGCUUACAAUGGUUGGCAACCAGGACUGGUUGGGGAGCAACAGCGCAUUUAGAAUCGGGAGGAUUGAUACGUAGCCGACCUGGAAUCGCACACCCAGAUAUCCAGUAUCAUUUUCUCCCGUCUGUCGUGCUCGAUCACGGACGUACAAGUGGAAACUGUCACGCCUACCAGGUCCAUGCAAGUCAGAUGCGACAGACCAGUAUUGGGAACAUUAAGCUGAAAUCCAAAAACCCGAAGGACCAUCCUUUAAUUGAUCCUAACUACCUUGCGACCGAAAUUGACAUUUGGGAGCUUAGACAAUCAGUAAAACUGUCCAGGGAGAUUCUUGCACAGAAAGCGUUUGAUGAGUAUCGUGGGGAGGAAAUUUCUCCUGGCCCCAGUGUCGUCACUGAUGACGAAAUAGAUGCCUGGGUACGCCAAGCAACGGACACCGCGUACCAUCCAAGUUGCACGUGCAAAAUGGGAUCUACUGAUGAUCCAAUGACUGUUGUUGACAAUCAAGGUCGGGUAUUGGGUAUAGACGGUCUCAGAGUAGUAGAUUCCUCUAUUAUGCCAAGUGUCGUGAGUGGAAACCUUAAUGGACCAACAGUUAUGAUUGCUGAGAAAAUAGCAGAUGCCAUCCGUGGAAGAGAUCCACUACCGCCGAGUGACGCAGCAGUGUGGAAGCCAGAAACUCUUGAAACACAAAGAUAAAACCCCUAGCACAAUGCAUCUAUUUAUGAAAAAUCAUAACCUGUGACAACAACUUCUAUUAACAGACCUUUCCAACAAACCAUGUCCCAUUUUGGUACAUCAAAGAAGCGAUGAUAUAUUGGCUAUCAUAGGUUUUUAAAAUUAGCAAUUAGUUAAUGCAUAGUAGGUACUAUAAGUUACAUUCUUUUACAAAUACAACACUACUGAUACAAAUAUAUUGGCAAAAUAAAAUGAUUUUUAACCGAAGUUUUAUAUACAGUAUUUAUACAUGUAGUUAUUUUAUUACUGUAAUAUUCCCCCGUCUCUCUUAUUGGUUUAUACCGUACACGUGGCCAAAAAUAAGAAGACGUAUCCAUUGGCCAAACACUGUGAUGCCAGUGGCGUUAUACUACAAUUACCGUUUUCAGCAGAUGUGGCGUUUUAAAUCUAAAAUCCAUAAAUAACACAAACAAUACAAUUAAAGGUACAAAAAACGAAGGUCGAUAGUCAUACUGUCACAUCCCAUACUGUUUUCGAUGAAUACCUGUUACACUUUAAAUGAUUCACCAAGUGUAUUCACCGAAGCACGAAGGGCCAGGGGAAUACACCUUGCUAGGAUCAUUGAAAGAUGAACAGGUAUUCACCUCAA